rnacentral:rRNA from 1 species
GACGAACGCUGGCGGCGUGCUUAACACAUGCAAGUCGAACGGAAAGGCCCUGCUUUUGUGGGGUGCUCGAGUGGCGAACGGGUGAGUAACACGUGAGUAACCUGCCCUUGACUUUGGGAUAACUUCAGGAAACUGGGGCUAAUACCGGAUAGGAGCUCCUGCUGCAAGGUGGGGGUUGGAAAGUUUCGGCGGUUGGGGAUGGACUCGCGGCUUAUCAGCUUGUUGGUGGGGUAGUGGCUUACCAAGGCUUUGACGGGUAGCCGGCCUGAGAGGGUGACCGGCCACAUUGGGACUGAGAUACGGCCCAGACUCCUACGGGAGGCAUCAGUGGGGAAUAUUGCACAAUGGGCGGAAGCCUGAUGCAGCAACGCCGCGUGCGGGAUGACGGCCUUCGGGUUGUAAACCGCUUUCGCCUGUGACGAAGCGUGAGUGACGGGAAUGGGUAAAGAAGCACCGGCUAACUACGU